UUAGGAAUCUUGCGCAAUGGGGGGAACCCUGACGCAGCGACGCCGCGUGAAUGAUGAAGUCUUUCGGGAUGUAAAGUUCUGUCCUACAGGGAAGAAUAGAUGACGGUACCUGUAGAGAAAGCCCCGGCUAACUACGUGCCAGCAGCCGCGGUAAUACGUAGGGGGCGAGCGUUGUCCGAAUUUAUUGGGCGUAAAGCGCGUGUAGGCGGUUUUUUAAGUCAGGUGUGAAAUCCCGCAGCUCAACUGCGGAACUGCACUUGAUACUGGAAGGCUUGAGAGUGGGAGAGGAAAGUGGAAUUCCUGGUGUAGCGGUGAAAUGCGUAGAUAUCAGGAGGAACACCCGUGGCGAAGGCGGCUUUCUGGCCCACUUCUGACGCUGAGACGCGAAAGCCAGGGGAGCGAACGGG
rnacentral:rRNA from 1 species